CACCUCUAGCAUUUCCAGUAUUAGAGGCACUGCCUGCCCAGUGACAUUAGUUAAACGGCCGCGGUAUCCUGACCGUGCAAAGGUAGCAUAAUCAUUUGUUCCUUAAUUAGGGACUUGUAUGAAUGGCCCCACGAGGGUUUAACUGUCUCUUACUUUUAAUCAGUGAAAUUGACCUUCCCGUGAAGAGGCGGGAAUACAAAAAUAAGACGAGAAGACCCUAUGGAGCUUAAAUUAAUAUGUUCAACAGAAUUAAAUUAUAAUCCAACAGGAAUAAAAAUAUUCUAACUGAACAAUAAAUUUUGGUUGGGGUGACCUCGGAGUAUAACAUAACCUCCGAGCAAUUAAACCAAGACUUACCAGUCAAGGCCAUAUAACUUAUUGAUCCAAUCUUAUUGAUCAACGAAACAAGUUACCCUAGGGAUAACAGCGCAAUCCUAUUUAAGAGUUCAUAUCGACAAUAGGGUUUACGACCUCGAUGUUGGAUCAGGACACCCAAAUGGUGCAGCAGCUAUUAAAGGUUCGUUUGUUCAACG
rnacentral:rRNA from 1 species